GAUGAACGCUGGCGGCGUGCCUAAUACAUGCAAGUCGAGCGAACAGACGAGGAGCUUGCUCCUCUGACGUUAGCGGCGGACGGGUGAGUAACGCGUGGAUAACCUACCUAUAAGACUGGGAUAACUUCGGGAAACCGGAGCUAAUACCGGAUAAUAUAUUGAACCGCAUGGUUCAAUAGUGAAAGACGGUUUUGCUGUCACUUAUAGAUGGAUCCGCGCCGCAUUAGCUAGUUGGUAAGGUAACGGCUUACCAAGGCAACGAUGCGUAGCCGACCUGAGAGGGUGAUCGGCCACACUGGAACUGAGACACGGUCCAGACUCCUACGGGAGGCAGCAGUAGGGAAUCUUCCGCAAUGGGCGAAAGCCUGACGGAGCAACGCCGCGUGAGUGAUGAAGGUCUUCGGAUCUUAAAACUCUGUUAUUAGGGAAGAACAAAUGUGUAAGUAACUAUGCACGUCUUGACGGUACCUAAUCAGAAAGCCACGGCUAACUACGUG
rnacentral:rRNA from 1 species